UUACUCACUUCAGCAGCAAAUAUACUAAAAUUGGAAUGCUACAGAGAAGAUUAGCAUGCCCCUUGCACAAGGAUGACAUGCAAAUUCGUGAAGCAUUUUU
ensembl:snRNA U6 U6 spliceosomal RNA